UAACCUCUGCAGGCUGUCUGGCCCCCAGGCCAGACUGGGCAAGUAUGUCUUCAAAAGUCUCACUCUCAAAGCACAACUAGGAGC
rnacentral:pre_miRNA from 1 species